GGGGCAUUAGCUCAGUCGGUUAGAGCAGCGGACUCAUAAUCCGUCGGUCGCGGGUUCAAGUCCCGCAUGCCCUA
rnacentral:tRNA from 1 species